rnacentral:rRNA from 1 species
AUUGAACGCUGGCGGCAGGCCUAACACAUGCACGUCGAACGUGUGGCGGACGGGUGAGUAAUGUCUGGGAAACUGUCCGAUACAGGGGGAUAACUACGGGAAACGGCAGCUAAUCCCGCAUUCAAUCGGAUGUGCCCAGAUGGGAUUAGCUAGUAGGUGGGGUAAUGGCUCACCUAGGCGACUAUCCCUAGCUGUUCGGAGAGGGUGACCAGCCACACUGGAACUGAGACACGUUCCAGACUCCUACGGUAGGCAGCAGUGGGGAAUAUUGCACAAUGGACGCAAGCCUGAUGCAGCCAUGCCGCGUGUAUGAAGAAGGCCUUCGGGUUGUAAAGUACUUUCAGCGGAGAGGCGUUACUCGCAGAAGAAGCACCGGCUAACUCCGUGCCAGCAGCCGCGGUAAUAC